rnacentral:rRNA from 1 species
GGCGGCAGGCUUAACACAUGCAAGUCGAGCGGUAGCAGAUCUAGCUUGCUAGAUGCUGACGAGCGGCGGACGGGUGAGUAACGCGUAGGAACCUGCCCAGUAGUGGGGGAUAGCCCGGGGAAGCUCGGAUUAAUACCGCAUACGCUCUACGGAGGAAAGAGGGGCUUCGUCUCUCGCUAUUGGAUGGGCCUGCGUGAGAUUAGCUAGUUGGUGAGGUAAUGGCUCACCAAGGCGACGAUCUCUAGCUGGUCUGAGAGGAUGAUCAGCCACACUGGGACUGAGACACGGCCCAGACUCCUACGGGAGGCAGCAGUGGGGAAUAUUGCACAAUGGGCGCAAGCCUGAUGCAGCCAUGCCGCGUGUGUGAAGAAGGCUUUCGGGUUGUAAAGCACUUUCAGUGGGGAGGAAGGCCUCGUAGUUAAUAGCUGCGAGGAUUGACGUUACCCACAGAAGAAGCACCGGCUAACUCCGUG